rnacentral:rRNA from 1 species
UGCCCAGCUUGCUGGGUGGAUUAGUGGCGAACGGGUGAGUAACACGUGAGUAACCUGCCCCUGACUCUGGGAUAAGCGUUGGAAACGACGUCUAAUACUGGAUAUGACUGCCGGCCGCAUGGUCUGGUGGUGGAAAGAUUUUUUGGUUGGGGAUGGACUCGCGGCCUAUCAGCUUGUUGGUGAGGUAAUGGCUCACCAAGGCGACGACGGGUAGCCGGCCUGAGAGGGUGACCGGCCACACUGGGACUGAGACACGGCCCAGACUCCUACGGGAGGCAGCAGUGGGGAAUAUUGCACAAUGGGCGAAAGCCUGAUGCAGCAACGCCGCGUGAGGGAUGACGGCCUUCGGGUUGUAAACCUCUUUUAGUAGGGAAGAAGCGAAAGUGACGGUACCUGCAGAAAAAGCACCGGCUAACUACGUGCCAGCAGCCGCGGUAAUACGUAGGGUGCAAGCGUUGUCCGGAAUUAUUGGGCGUAAAGAGCUCGUAGGCGGUUUGUCGCGUCUGCUGUGAAAUCCCGAGGCUCAACCUCGGGCUUGCAGUGGGUACGGGCAGACUAGAGUGCGGUAGGGGAGAUUGGAAUUCCUGGUGUAGCGGUGGAAUGCGCAGAUAUCAGGAGGAACACCGAUGGCGAAGGCAGAUCUCUGGGCCGUAACUGACGCUGAGGAGCGAAAGCAUGGGGAGCGAACAGGAUUAGAUACCCUGGUAGUCCAUGCCGUAAACGUUGGGCGCUAGAUGUAGGGACCUUUCCACGGUUUCUGUGUCGUAGCUAACGCAUUAAGCGCCCCGCCUGGGGAGUACGGCCGCAAGGCUAAAACUCAAAGGAAUUGACGGGGGCCCGCACAAGCGGCGGAGCAUGCGGAUUAAUUCGAUGCAACGCGAAGAACCUUACCAAGGCUUGACAUACACCGGAAACGGCCAGAGAUGGUCGCCCCCUUGUGGUCGGUGUACAGGUGGUGCAUGGUUGUCGUCAGCUCGUGUCGUGAGAUGUUGGGUUAAGUCCCGCAACGAGCGCAACCCUCGUUCUAUGUUGCCAGCGCGUUAUGGCGGGGACUCAUAGGAGACUGCCGGGGUCAACUCGGAGGAAGGUGGGGAUGACGUCAAAUCAUCAUGCCCCUUAUGUCUUGGGCUUCACGCAUGCUACAAUGGCCGGUACAAAGGGCUGCGAUACCGUAAGGUGGAGCGAAUCCCAAAAAGCCGGUCUCAGUUCGGAUUGAGGUCUGCAACUCGACCUCAUGAAGUCGGAGUCGCUAGUAAUCGCAGAUCAGCAACGCUGCGGUGAAUACGUUCCCGGGCCUUGUACACACCGCCCGUCAAGUCAUGAAAGUCGG